rnacentral:lncRNA from 1 species
AAUAAAAGAGGCAAGGAGGCGCUGCUAGGCUAGGAAGGCGAGGCAAGCGCAGCUGCAGCUCUAGCUCUAGCGCGCGCUCUCUUUCCCUGCUUCUGUCUUCGCUCCCUAAGUUCCAGGGGGAUCCUGAAGCCAGGCAGCGCCCCCGGUGAAGCCCGACAGAGGCGAUCCAUGCUCACGAUUCAACUGUACAUACAAUCGCCUGAAUAUACAUGCAAAGAAUUGGGAAUGCAAGUGGUGAAUAAUCACAAAAGGCUAGAUUCUUCCAUCCUUGCUCACAGAAACCUGACUCUUCAAUUGAUUGUCUCUGUCCAAAUUUCUAAACUGGUGACCGAAGAAUACCUUCGGAUUUCCCUUUGCUGAGAACAGUUGCAACCUGACUGCUUUUACCUCCG